ACUCCUACGGGAGGCAGCAGUGGGGAAUAUUGGACAAUGGGCGGAAGCCUGAUCCAGCAACGCCGCGUGAGGGAUGACGGCCUUCGGGUUGUAAACCUCUUUCAGCACAGACGAAGCGAAAGUGACGGUAUGUGCAGAAGAAGCACCGGCCAACUACGUGCCAGCAGCUGCGGUAAUACGUAGGGUGCGAGCGUUGUCCGGAAUUAUUGGGCGUAAAGGGCUCGUAGGCGGUUUGUCGCGUCGGGAGUGAAAACCAGAGGCUUAACUUCUGGCUGGCUUUCGAUACGGGCAGACUAGAGGUAUGCAGGGGAGAACGGAAUUCCUGGUGUAGCGGUGAAAUGCGCAGAUAUCAGGAGGAACACCGGUGGCGAAGGCGGUUCUCUGGGCAUUACCUGACGCUGAGGAGCGAAAGUGUGGGGAGCGAACAGGAUUAGAUACCCUGGUAGUCCACACCGUAAACGUUGGGCGCUAGGUGUGGGGCCUAUUCCAUGGGUUCCGUGCCGCAGCUAACGCAUUAAGCGCCCCGCCUGGGGAGUACGGCCGCAAGGCUAAAACUCAAAGGAAUUGACGGGGGCCCGCACAAGCGGCGGAGCAUGCGGAUUAAUUCGAUGCAACGCGAAGAACCUUACCUGGGUUUGACAUACACCGGAAAGCCUCAGAGAUGGGGCCCCUUUUGUCGGUGUACAGGUGGUGCAUGGCUGUCGUCAGCUCGUGUCGUGA
rnacentral:rRNA from 1 species